AACGAACGCUGGCGGCAGGCUUAACACAUGCAAGUCGAACGCCCCGCAAGGGGAGUGGCAGACGGGUGAGUAACGCGUGGGAAUCUACCUAGUUCUACGGAACAACACAGGGAAACUUGUGCUAAUACCGUAUACGCCCUAAGGGGGAAAGAUUUAUCGGAAUUAGAUGAGCCCGCGUAAGAUUAGCUAGUUGGUGGGGUAAUGGCCUACCAAGGCGACGAUCUUUAGCUGGUCUGAGAGGAUGAUCAGCCACACUGGGACUGAGACACGGCCCAGACUCCUACGGGAGGCAGCAGUGGGGAAUAUUGGACAAUGGGCGAAAGCCUGAUCCAGCCAUGCCGCGUGAGUGAUGAAGGCCUUAGGGUUGUAAAGCUCUUUCAGUAGGGAAGAUAAUGACGGUACCUACAGAAGAAGCCCCGGCUAACUUCGUGCCAGCAGCCGCCGUAA
rnacentral:rRNA from 1 species